GGAUUAGCUGUGAGUGCUAAAUCCAUUUCAGUGCAAGAAAAAAAGCUAAAGUUGUUGCAGGAAUUAUGAUUACAGGGCAGAAGCCUGCCCCAUUGCUGACUUCCUCCCUGAAUAAUUCAGUAGGAGCACCAGCAGGCAGAGCCCAGCAGGCUGUGACCAUGGAAGGGCCUGGAAGCAGCGACAUCUCAAGAACCAUGAGCACACCUAGAGCCCAUAUCCUUGCAUCUAAAUACCAGUAAGAGAGCAGAGGUCCUUGGAGAAAUGGCUGAUACCAGGCGGGGCUAGAGCAAAGAACAUGAUGAGUCUGGAAUGCUUUGUUGUGCCAGAAGGAACAAAAAGCGCUCAAAGAAUGACGGAGACAUGACAAAAGAAUACGGGAGCUGACCAGAAGGCCCACUUACCCCCACCACUGCCCGCUUGUCUCAGGCUAACCACGUUCCAUGGAAAAGAAAAAGAUUAUAAAAGAUUAUAAUAAUAAUUAAUAAUGAUAGUAACACAAUUAUAAUUCAUUGACUAAAGAGGAAGUCAUGAGUCCAUAUUGAUAGAAAUAAAUUAAUGAAUAAAUGGAGAAGUGAGAAAAAAUUUUCCUAACAGCAGAACGACAGCUAAUGAACAUAGUGGGAAUGAUUGAACUAGAAAAAUCACUAUUUGGCAGCCACAGGAAUCAAUAAUUCAGCCAGGAAGCAUGAAUGAGGGCUAAAACUAAUUGGUAGAAGUUUGAUGAGGAACAGGAUACUUACAUA